UCCAAGUGGUGCAACCUUGAAUUCCACGCAAGGCAGUUUGGUCUUUAUACUGGGAAUACACUAAAGGCUAACACAUGAGGAAUGAUUCAGUCAAAUGUGUGUUUCAGAGCCAUGGCUCCUGAUGUGGUGAGAAGGGAAUUCGUGAGGAAAAACAAAGAGACAAAGCACAGAAGAGAAUGGAGCCAGACAAGUUGGGAAGCGGUAGCCCAUGUGAGGGGAUGAUGGGGAAUAUGGACUCAGAGUUACUUGGGAGGCCCAACUUUAAUAACCAUAUGAGGGAACUCAGCUAUAAGAAAAUUGAUUCACAGAAGCUUUUGAAGCCCAGAACCAAACCCGUGAAGGUUCUUCCAGAAUCCAUACUCUUCAACAUGAUGCCCUACUGCCUUUCAUGCCUUGUCUCUUUUAAAAUAUAUUUUGAGGAAUAUGGCUUUUAAUUAUAAAAGGUAAUGACAAAAAUGUGGAAGUAGUAGGCUAUAUUAAACCUGGAAACAUGUUUUGUUUUCUCAAGGGUGUUUUCUGAGACUCCAAGGGUCUUUUCUGUAUGAUGAAGCACAGUGGUGAGAAGUGUGAGAAGCGGGUAUUCUGGAGCCAGUUCCAUUCUGUUCCAGCUGUGUAACCUUAAGGAAGGCCCUUAACCUCUCGGAGCUUUAUUUUCUCUACCUGUAAACAAGAUGGUUGUAAGUAUUAAAUAAUUUAAUACAUGUACGAUGUCCAGCCGAGUGCUGAGCAUGGGAGUACUAUAGACGUGUUUGUUGGUGUUUAUUGAGUUCAUUGAACUCCACUGUGUCCCUCCCAGGCAUUGUGCUGGGCUGUGGAGAUAGAGAGAAGAGCAAGCCAGUAUCAACUCAUUCUGAGAGAAUGUAAUAGAAAGCAGCUUCAAAGAAUUGAAGAAAGUGUACCUAACUUGGUCUGAGUGAAAAGAAAAGUGCUUGGCCAUUCCUAUUCUUGGGCAGUUUUUAUCUAUAGGGUAUAACUAUAUAUCUCAUAUCUGGUUUUCUCCAUUCCUAAGGCACAGGGCCUGAGAUUUCAAAAUUAGAGAUUUACUUGCUUGGCAUAAGCAUUGCCCUUCUGUCAUGGGCUUCUGUGAGCCUGCAAAUUAGUGUGGGGUUUGCAUCAGUUUCCUAAUGACAUCUUGUGGCAUCUUGCCUGACAAAAAUGGGGGACUCACACCCAGAGAUCUAAGGUAAUAGGUAUGAAUGGGGAUUGGAAAUGUCUCACCUGGUUCUGAGGCUGGUGCACAUAGGCACAUCACCCUGAGAGGCACUCUCCUGAGGGCUCCAGGACACAUUUGUGGUCCCUUUCACCUGAAGGGCAAAAGGACAGAACAGAAGCACGGU
rnacentral:lncRNA from 12 species